GGCACCUAAGACCCAGUUCUAGGAUCACUGAGAUGCACAAAACAGCUUCUGAACCAAGUAAAAUAGAGGUGAACUAGGAUCUGCCACCUCUCAGGAGAAAAGAGGACAAUCUGGCCCCUUGAUAAGAAGUGGAUAGGGCUCACUCAGGUUUCCCUUGAUAGCAGUCUUUCAACUUUGACCGUUGCAAGCUCUUGAUAGCUGAAAUGGGUGUGCAGAAGAGGCUUAGGGAAGAAACAAUUCUGCAACCUGGAUAUUACAUAUUUGGAUUGGCAGCAGCUCAUAAAUGGCUAACAGCUUGAUGUAAAGUUAAUUUUGCACUUGUUGUUUCCAAGCAGAUGUUUAAAGUCGACAACUGAAUUUGCUGAGGAAGGUCAUUAAUGUUUAAUUUUCUAUUAGGAAAUGUCCUUUAUUGACGUAUUUCACUGAGAAAAGCAGAAAGUAGGGU